CUUGCUCUUGUGUCUAGUAAGAUCCCUGAAAUCUAAGGAUUAUGUGUGUGUGUGUGUGUGUGUGUGUGUGUGUGUGUGUGGUGUGAGCUAUAAUCUCAGGAAGCAGGAGAAGUUAGAGGCAUCAACAGUUGUGAUGUGUAUGAGUGUGCGAGCAUGUCUCUCUGUGUGUUAGGAGAUGAAGUACUCAUAUUCCUGCUGUUUGCAGACUCAGCCAGAAGCCCAGCCAAGGAAAACAUGAAGUGGGCAGCCAGCUUGAGCCUGGGAGACACCCUGCAGCUCUGGAGUGUGUCUGAAACCUCAAGGACCUUGAAACCUUGCCUGCUCUGAUGAAUCACCUACUCACAGUCCUCUAGACAAUCCCCUUUCUGCAGGAUGAGAAAAUAAGAUUUGAUUACCCACUGUGGUGGCUUGAAUGCAAUUGAAUCCCCAUAAUCCCCAAAGGAGUGGCACUAUUAGGAGAUGGAGCCAGCACCAUGUCUGCCUGCACGCUGCCAUAAUCCCUGCAAUGAUGAUAACGGACUGAACCUCUGAAACUGUAAGCCUCCCCAAUUAAAUGCUUUCUUUUAUAAGAGUUGCUGUGGUCAUGGUGUCUCUUCACAGCAAUAGAAACCCCAAGACACCCUCCAUGUGGGAGAACUGUCCCUGAGGUUUCUCUUCAGCAGAGGAGACAAUGGCUAUAUAGCCUGACACUGGAGGCCAACACAGAUGCCCUGGAAGGAAGGCUGAGUGGAGCCUACAGAGAAGGGCUGGUGUGUCUGGAGACUCAGGUCAGAGAACCUUGGGGGAGGGGGCAAAGGAGGGGAGCUGAGCUGGAUCCUCACCAAGUUGGGAUAAAAGUCACCGGAAUGGCCUGCACAGAGCAGAGGGAUGGGGACAGUGCAGACCCACUGUACAACCACAAGAAAUGGCUAAAGCUUGGAAGCAGUAGGUGGGAAUCCCAGAAAGAGAGGGGAAGGGAGAGGUGCCUCACCCCCAAUGUAGACGGCUCCUAGACAGCUGACACACUGCAAAAUGCUGUCGAGACAGGGGGAGCAGACUCCUGUUGGUGGGAGGAGGCAAUGAGUCAACCCCAGCCAGAGUGAAGGAGGAAUUCAUGUAUGGCAGAAGCCCUCUACACCCUUCUGGGUCUGUGCUGGCUAUGGCUCUGCAGGAGACAGUUCUUUCAAAAGACUUCAGUUGCGUAAGUACUGUGCUCUCAUUCUGGAAAAAUUAGAAAACAUGUCAGGCCAAAUAACAAAACUAUCGAUAAGUGUUAUCAAAGUACAGGCUACCCCUCCCCUGCCAGAGAGAACAACUACAUUCCUCCAGUGUUUAGUCCUAGAGACACUCGAGGGGGGCACAAGCAGUGGGGUUCACGUCCCAUCACAGCUUGCCCUCUCU
rnacentral:lncRNA from 1 species